UAAACACUCCGCCUGAGGAGUACGAUCGCAAGAUUAAAACUCAAAGGAAUUGACGGGGACCCGCACAAGCGGUGGAUGAUGUGGAUUAAUUCGAUGCAACGCGAAAAACCUUACCUACCCUUGACAUGGCAGGAACUUUCCAGAGAUGGAUUGGUGCUCGAAAGAGAACCUGCACACAGGUGCUGCAUGGCUGUCGUCAGCUCGUGUCGUGAGAUGU
rnacentral:rRNA from 1 species